CAGGAGAUAGUUUAUUGAAAACAAUAGCUUUGGGAGUUGUAGAUACAAGUUUAACUCUUGUUUUCCUGA
rnacentral:tRNA from 1 species